rnacentral:rRNA from 1 species
CCGGCGCACGGGUGAGUAACACGUAUGCAACCUGGCCGUCACAGGUGGAUAACCGGAAGAAAUUCCGACUAAUACAGCAUAACACUCCUGAGGGACAUCCUUCGGGAGUCAAAGGAGGCAACUCCGGUGACGGAUGGGCAUGCGGCGCAUUAGGUAGUUGGUAGGGUAACGGCCUACCAAGCCGACGAUGCGUAGGGGUUCUGAGAGGAAGGUCCCCCACAUUGGAGCUGAGACACGGUCCAAACUCCUACGGAAGGCAGCAG